CCUCAAAAUAUAAACAAGAGGACAUGUUUUUGAUAAACAGGCGGAAAUCAAUUUUGCCUAGUUCCUUAUAAUAAGUUCACAAGGUAAAAAUUUCAUACAAAUAAAUAUACUAAUUCUAUCAUUAUUACAAAAAUUUUAAAAUUAAAUUAAUAAUCUUAAUAAAAAACCUAAAAUAUUUAUAAAAUCAAAAUAAAAAAUAAUGAACUAAAA